rnacentral:rRNA from 1 species
CAGCAGCCACGGUAAUACAGAGGGUGCAAGCGUUAAUCGGAAUUACUGGGCGUAAAGCGCGCGUAGGUGGUUCGCCAAGUUGGAUGUGAAAGCCCGGGGCUCAACCCCGGAACUGCCUUUGAAACUAGAUGACUAGAAUCUUGGAGAGGUCAGUGGAAUUCCGAGUGUAGAGGUGAAAUUCGUAGAUAUUCGGAAGAACACCAGUGGCGAAGGCGACUGACUGGACAAGUAUUGACGCUGAGGUGCGAAAGCGUGGGGAGCAAACAGGAUUAGAUACCCCCGUAGUCCCUGUCUCUUAUAC